UGAUAAAAAAAGGACUUUAACCUUUAUUAAAGGGGUUACAACCCUCCACCUAAUUCGGCCAUCUUACC
rnacentral:tRNA from 1 species